UGGCUCAGUUGGUAGAGCAUGGUGUUUGCAACGCCAGAGUUGUGGGUUCGCUUCCUAC
rfam:Salmo salar isolate Sally breed double haploid chromosome ssa18, whole genome shotgun sequence.